UUGGGGAUCUUCCCAUGGAUGCCAUACAGAUGGAGUUUCCUGUUGGAGAAUAGGAGGUAAGAGCCGCAUUGGAACCACAAGUCAGGAGGCCUCUGGGGCCAGAUGCCUUCUGUGUCUUCAAUUUAAUAUAAUAAGCACUUAUUAAAGGAUGAAGUGUGUGAGCAUGUACCUGAGAAUAGAACUGAAACCCAAUAUGAAUGAACGGAAAGGAAGAAAGAAAUUAGAAUUUAAGUCAAGGGAGGGUCCCUCAACUCUGAUAAAUGAAUGAUCAUAUUGCUGACUUAUUAGAGGUUUCCUAGUUAGCAAUAAAAGAGAACAAAGAUGAAAGGAGCAGUCUUCUUGGGAAGACAAGGCAUUUCAGGUAAAAUUCAUGUUUCCCAGAAUGCACUACCUAUUCUUUUCUUGCUUCUUCUGAAAAAGCAGAUGUAGCACAUUUCCCUACUUCAGAAUAUGGUGAGCCAGAUCUGGUCAGUGGAAGGUGGUUUAUUUUUAAUAUGGCAUAUUUCACUCCACCCUUAUUUAAAAAGAAAAUGCAUUCAAUAGACUGAUGUCUAUAACCAGAAAUUCAAAUUACUAGUUUACAGAAGCUUGAAUUAUCUAAAGUCUCUGAAGACCCAAAUUACAGUCAGAUUGAAAUUUACAAUCAGAAAUGCAAGUAUUCCAGAAACUGCCUGUAUAAGUAGACCCAUACAUUGGGCCAAGUUACAAUUAAAAAGUUUUCUUGAGAGCUUGGAAUCAGAACAAAGGAAGUCAGAGGGACAACACAUUUAACAGCAUCAAACAAACACAACCUGAUCCACUAUCUUGCAAUGGGGUUAAUCUGGCACACAGGUCAGGAAUACAGAAAGUAUACUGCCUUCAGCUCCUGUCAUCUAUUUCCACAUUUAAGACAGUCUGCCACUAUAAUGGGAUACUUUUUUGGGUGAGAAUCUUCUGUUCCAUUAGUACCACUGGUUGAUUUGGGGAAUCCGUUUUCUUAUUUUUUCCUAGCUGACCAAUUCUCUUCAGAUCAACAAACUCUUUCUUUAGAUUUGUUAAUGCUUCUAGUAGAGUUACAGCCGUCAUUAGAAAAUUCUCUCUUAAGCCUAACACUAUCUCUUUUUAACUUUUUCCCACUAGUGGCCCAGAAUUUAGCUCUGUAUGGAAACAGAAAAAUGAUGCCCUGUUCCAUGACAGCUCCUAAAUAACUCAAGGCUUGCUAUCUUCAAGGUUGCCACAUACACUGGUAUCACGGCCGCCACAUUCUCCCCAGGAGUUCCAUCCAUCAAGUUCCUCAAUGCAAGGACGGCUAACAAGGUCCCUGUCACUUUGGGUGAAAUAUACAGGUAUCACCAGAGGCUCCUGAACCCACCAUGAGCAGAGAGAGGUAUAGCUAUUUCCCCAUCCCAGCAUGCUCCAUCCAGGAAACCAGCAAGAUGGCUUUGCCUUGUUUUACAUCUCCAUCUGCAGAGUAGAGGUGGGAAAGAAGAAAUCUUUUGGUUUCUUCCUUUCAUGAGAAUGGUUUCCUAUGGGUAAGAUGUCUGAAGUGAUGAGCCCAAACUUUGAUGUCUGAGAUAUUCACCAUAAAAUUGUUUGCAACAGUUACAGGCUUUUGUAGGACUUCUGCUUGUUUUCUUCACAUUCCACACUGAAGACAGCAACUACUAUGUGUACAGUAUUUUGCAAAGUGACUCUGGUUAUGUUAUCUCACAUGGUCCUCACUUUGGCCUUGUAAGAUAGGCUGGGCAAGGGUUAUUAUCAUUCUUAUUUUGUAGAGGGGGAAACUGAGGCACAUCCAUGGUCACUUGGAUUACAGUGGCACUGUAAGAUUAGAGCUAGGAUCUAGCUUUCAAUUCCAUACAUUUUAAAUGAUCAUAUCACUAUGCCUUCCAUCCUUACUAACCCUGUUUCUUUUCUGCGUAUAGGACAAUUGUAUUUUUAAUUAAGUUGUUAUGUAGCCCUUUCUGUUUGCAUGCAUCAGGAAUAUCCUCCCUCGAAUAAAAUACUCAGAAAUAAGGUGGGAUGCUAUGUUUGGACUUUCCAGUCAAUUCAGGUGAGCCACCAGUAGACUCCAUAUUGUUCUUAUCAAGAAAUUUCAGACUGUGGGGGUCAGCUGUCCACUGUCCUGAGUAGCUAGGCUACUGUGAAUAGAUCUAAACCUUUCUCUGACCACUGAGGCUUGGGCAAGGGUGACUCACAGCUAGCCUUGCAGCCUGUUUCUCCAGCCAUUGAAAAAGACUGGAGUAAAUCUGAACUGAGUUCAGCACACACCUAGAAGUUCUGUGUAUAUGCAGUAAGUCAGUAAGAACAUAUCCAGACUCAGUUUACAUUCAUUGUGUGUGCCACAUUAAGUGCUUUCACCUGGGUUAUUUCAUUUAAUUCCAGUUCUCUGCAGUGGAUAUUAUUGCCUGUAUCUUUCAGAAAAAGAACUAAAGUUCAGAGAGGCUAAGUGAAGUGACACUCAGUGAUAUGCUUCCUUUCACUCCUCUCAUAUAGGUGAUAGAAAGCUGUUUCUGUAGAUCUCAUGUCAUUAUGAUCACUCCAUUUCUUCCUUCAUGUUUGCUUAAUUCACUGGCCAUGACCCUAUGAGCUAUAGACUAGUUCCUCUCUCAUUACCAUUGAUUCUAGACAUGGCCAAUAAGGCAUGGACCAGCAAGACACUGCAAAUCUCACCCAGAGCUGGAAGCCUGCUGUCCUGCCCUGAGUAAGGAAGCGUUCUUCUUUCUUUCCCUUCUGUGAAUUAGGCUGCAGAUCCCUGGAAAUGGGAGGCUUCUAACUGAGGAUCAGUGGUUGUCUGCUCUUCUGCUAUCGUUUCCUGACAUGCUGAACCAACUGGUUUACCUGCCAACUGAUUUACCUGCCACUCUAGGCUGAAACCCCAUAUCAGAAUUCCCUGCAAUGGAAAUGAUCCAUGAAGGCAGAAGAGGAGAUAUGUUAAGUCAUAAGAACAGGUGUUUGUUCAGAAUGAUGGUUUCAAGGCACUGUGAUUUCUUCUCAGCAGGGAGAGAGCUGCAGAAAUAAAUGCAAUGCAAGUGUGUGUGUGAGUGGCUGAGCAUUCUCCAAGAGCAUGGAAGACCCAAUUCUCCCUGCAAAGCUGGAUCUGCAAAUGUGUCUCCCUACCCAUUCUUUAAUUAAAAGGGAUCUCCAUCCUUGUGGGGGUAGGGUAUAGUACUGGUGGGGCAGACAUGCUUAGAGAAGCUAGAAGGGCUCUCCUGGGUUCUCUGAAUAAGAGUCAAAUCCCCAGAG